rnacentral:rRNA from 1 species
AGAGUUUGAUCCUGGCUCAGAUUGAACGCUGGCGGCAUGCCUUACACAUGCAAGUCGAACGGCAGCACGAGAGCUUGCUCUUGGUGGCGAGUGGCGAACGGGUGAGUAAUAUAUCGGAACGUACCCUAGAGUGGGGGAUAACGCAGCGAAAGUUGCGCUAAUACCGCAUACGAUCUACGGAUGAAAGUGGGGGAUCGCAAGACCUCAUGCUCAUGGAGCGGCCGAUAUCUGAUUAGCUAGUUGGUAGGGUAAAAGCCUACCAAGGCUUCGAUCAGUAGCUGGUCUGAGAGGACGACCAGCCACACUGGAACUGAGACACGGUCCAGACUCCUACGGGAGGCAGCAGUGGGGAAUUUUGGACAAUGGGCGCAAGCCUGAUCCAGCAAUGCCGCGUGAGUGAAGAAGGCCUUCGGGUUGUAAAGCUCUUUUGUCAGGGAAGAAACGGUGGACUCUAAUACAGAUCACUAAUGACGGUACCUGAAGAAUAAGCACCGGCUAACUACGUGCCAGCAGCCGCGGUAAUACGUAGGGUGCAAGCGUUAAUCGGAAUUACUGGGCGUAAAGCGUGCGCAGGCGGUUGUGCAAGACAGAUGUGAAAUCCCCGGGCUCAACCUGGGAAUUGCAUUUGUGACUGCACGGCUAGAGUGUGUCAGAGGGGGGUAGAAUUCCACGUGUAGCAGUGAAAUGCGUAGAGAUGUGGAGGAAUACCGAUGGCGAAGGCAGCCCCCUGGGAUAACACUGACGCUCAUGCACGAAAGCGUGGGGAGCAAACAGGAUUAGAUACCCUGGUAGUCCACGCCCUAAACGAUGUCUACUAGUUGUUGGGUCUUAAUUGACUUAGUAACGCAGCUAACGCGUGAAGUAGACCGCCUGGGGAGUACGGUCGCAAGAUUAAAACUCAAAGGAAUUGACGGGGACCCGCACAAGCGGUGGAUGAUGUGGAUUAAUUCGAUGCAACGCGAAAAACCUUACCUACCCUUGACAUGUACGGAAUCCCUGAGAGAUUAGGGAGUGCUCGAAAGAGAACCGUAACACAGGUGCUGCAUGGCUGUCGUCAGCUCGUGUCGUGAGAUGUUGGGUUAAGUCCCGCAACGAGCGCAACCCUUGUCAUUAGUUGCUACGAAAGGGCACUCUAAUGAGACUGCCGGUGACAAACCGGAGGAAGGUGGGGAUGACGUCAAGUCCUCAUGGCCCUUAUGGGUAGGGCUUCACACGUCAUACAAUGGUACAUACAGAGGGCCGCCAACCCGCGAGGGGGAGCUAAUCCCAGAAAGUGUAUCGUAGUCCGGAUUGUAGUCUGCAACUCGACUACAUGAAGUUGGAAUCGCUAGUAAUCGCGGAUCAGCAUGUCGCGGUGAAUACGUUCCCGGGUCUUGUACACACCGCCCGUCACACCAUGGGAGCGGGUUUCACCAGAAGUAGGUAGCCUAACCGUAAGGAGGGCGCUUACCACGGUGGGAUUCGUGACUGGGGUGAAGUCGUAACAAGGUAGCCGUAUCGAAGGUGCGGCUG